CGCGGGGUGGAGCAGCCUGGUAGCUCGUCGGGCUCAUAACCCGAAGGUCGUUGGUUCAAAUCCAACCCCCGCUCCCA
rnacentral:tRNA from 1 species